CGAGGACCUCCUCGAACAUGACCUACAGUGCUGCCGGAGGAAAUACUCUCCGGAUCGGAAUCAGUAUGAUCAGAAUUAUCAAAAUCAGGUGAAGUUUGUCAUGUGAAUAUUGAAGAUGUACUAACAAGUACUUUUCAAGACAUAAUUGGACGAGAAGUAUAUUCUAUUUUUAUAAUGAAGUUGUAUUAUGUAAUCAAGAACUGUUUGAAUUUGGAGAAUUGCGAUGAGUUCACACUUCACACUCGGUAUUAAAGUAUUCUAACAAUAUACGGUGUGGAGGGGCAUGAAAAUGGAGCGUUAUGCGACAUGUGGACGACACGUCAGUACGUGUCAAAAAAGUGCUGUGGUGCAAAAACAUGAGAUGUGGAAGAAUGACGUUAUUCGACAUGUGACACUCACUUUUUGUUAUUAUUUUAUAUUCAAAACUAUAAAAA